CCCGCAUACAUUCUACAUAGUUAAGCCCAUAUCCCACAACCAUAUAGGCAACCCUUAAAGGCACAGUCUCUUUAUAGUGUCCAAGUGGCCAUGUUUGCCACACUGCUGUUGGGGCAGAAAGGUGGCUUUCCUGGGGUCAGUAGGAGUUAUGUGGGGCAGAUAGAAGUUGGUUUAAGCUGGUCCAGGCUGCUGUCUCCCUUCUCUCAAUGCAGCUGUGAGUGUGUUCCAAGAAGAAGUGUACUCUCUGCCGGUAAAUUAUUGGAAAUAUUUCUAAUUUUAAAAAAAGAGUUAGUGUUUGGCUGAUGUGGUCUAAUUUUUUUCAGUUCCCUUGUCAGUGUUCGUGAGUAUAGCGGAAAUUACUUAAUUUAAAGGAUCACUAUGGGCACACAGAACAUUUCAGCUCAUUGAAGUGGUCUUGGUGCACUGUCCCAGGUCCCUUAAUCCUGCAAAGGUAAUUCUUGCAGUUUUUAAUAAACUGCAAUAAUUACCUUUGUGGAUUAACUUCACCUCUAGUUGCUGUCUACCAGACAGCUACUAGAGGGACUUACGGGUCGUUAGGUGACUUUUGGUUGCAUAACUGAUGCUGGACUCCCUCACGCUAGGCAUCCAGCGUCACCUGAAACCCCAUACUAAAGCACUGUAUAAUGCUUUCCUAUGGGGAAAUCCUAAUGCGAGCACGGCCAUUGCAUUGCAUUGCCAUUGCACGGCCAGGUCUCCCUUGUCAGCUGAUGUGGGCAGGGGACGAGCCCGAGCCAGCUCUGAGAGACAUUGGCACCCCUUUCUGCACCACGGGGAAAGAAGGGGAACGCUAAAAGGGAGCUAUAGUGCCAGGAAAACAUCUUAGUUUUCCUAGCACUGUAGUUUCCCUUUAAGGAUAUUGUAUAGAGAUAUUUCCUGGGCACCAGUUUAUCGGUUCUACCAUUUCUAUGUUCUUCUAUUUGCACUCAUAUUUUGCUCUAUGUAUUCUCAGAACAUGCUCUGUUUGUGAGAAAGAGAGAUAAAUACUUACCUACAAUGAACAAAAUUAUAAAUGCAACACUUUUGUUUUUGCCCCAAUUUUUCAUGAGCUGAAC